rnacentral:rRNA from 1 species
UUUAUUUGAUAGCACCUUACUACAUGGAUAACUGUGGUAAUUCUAGAGCUAAAACAUGCUAAAAAUCCCGACUUCGGAAGGGAUGUGUUUAUUAGAUUAAAAACCAAUGCCCUUCGGGGCUCCUUGGUGAUUCAUGAUAACCGCUCGAAUCGCACGGCCUUGCGCCGGCGAUGGUUCAUUCAAAUUUCUUCCCUAUCAACUUUCGAUGCGAAGGUAUUGUCUUCGCAUGGUUACAACGGGUAACGGAGGGUUAGGGCUCGACCCCGGAGAAGGAGCCUGAGAAACGGCUACUACAUCCAAGGAAGGCAGCAGGCGCGCAAAUUACCCAAUCCCGACACGGGGAGGUAGUGACAAUAAAUACUGAUACAGGGCUCUUUUGGGUCUUGUAAUCGGAAUGAGUACAAUUUAAAUCCCUUAACGAGGAACAAUUGGAGGCAAGUCUGGUGCCAGCANNNNGUAAUUCCAGCUCCAAUAGCGUAUAUUAAAGUUGUUGUGGUUAAAAAGCUCGUAGUUGAACCUUGGGCCUGGCUGGCCGGUCCCCCUCACCGGGUGCACUGGUCCGGCCGGGCCUUUCCCUCUGUGGAACCGCAUGCCCUUCACUGGGUGUGCCGGGGAAACAGGACUUUUACUUUGAAAAAAUUAGAGUGCUCCAGGCAGGCCUAUGCUCGAAUACAUUAGCAUGGAAUAAUGGAAUAGGACGUGUGGUUCUAUUUUGUUGGUUUCUAGGACCGCCGUAAUGAUUAAUAGGGACAGUCGGGGGCAUCAGUAUUCAAUUGUCAGAGGUGAAAUUCUUGGAUCUAUUGAAGACUAACUACUGCGAAAGCAUUUGCCAAGGAUGUUUUCAUUGAUAAGGAACGAAAGUUAGGGGAUCGAAGACGAUCAGAUACCGUCGUAGUCUUAACUAUAAACUAUGCCGACUAGGGAUCGGACGGUGUUUAUACUUGACCCGUUCGGCACCUUUCGAGAAAUCAAAGUGCUUGGGCUCCA